rnacentral:RNase_P_RNA from 2 species
UCCGGAGCGCAAGCUGUAUUUCCACGCCCGUGAGAAAUUCGGAGUACGCUUCAACCUUUCACCCGUGCCUCACCUUUGCUGUGGGGGGUUCCACGGGUCUGUCCGUGAGGACCUCGCGUGACAUUCACGCCUGUGAUUGGCAUCAGAGACGCAGGGCCUUCCGUUCCGCGUAUACCCGAAAGGGGACGGCGGUUGAGGUUGGUUCCUAUGGGAGAGUCGUCACGAAGCUUGUGCGCAUCACUUAAGUGCAAUACACAGCCUCUUUUUACAGAGAAUUCAAUUCCGAUCACUCUGAUGGGGA